CGGCGUGCUUAACACAUGCAAGUCGAACGAACCUUCGGGUUAGUGGCGGACGGGUGAGUAACGCGUGGGAAUCUGCCCUCAGGAGGGGGAUAACGGUUGGAAACGGCCGCUAAUACCCCAUAUGCCGAGAGGUGAAAUGAAUUUCGCCUGAGGAUGAGCCCGCGUCUGAUUAGCUAGUUGGUGAGGUAAGAGCUCACCAAGGCAUCGAUCAGUAGCUGGUCUGAGAGGAUGAUCAGCCACACUGGGACUGAGACACGGCCCAGACUCCUACGGGAGGCAGCAGUGGGGAAUUUUCCGCAAUGGGCGAAAGCCUGACGGAGCAACGCCGCGUGAGGGAUGAAGGCCUCUGGGCUGUAAACCUCUUUUAUCAAGGAAGAAGAUCUGACGGUACUUGAUGAAUAA
rnacentral:rRNA from 1 species